GCAGCGGCGGUGGCGGGCAGCCGAAGGGAGCGGGAGGCGGCGGCUGCGGAGGCGGCGGGCCUGGGCGGCCCGGGGCGAAGAAGGGCGGCAGAGCCAUAUCCGCGACGGAGGGAGUCUGAGAAGUGACAGGAAUUGGAGCGGUUCCCCUAGAAAGAGGGUCUUCCGGGGCGGAAGUGACGUAGUACUCGCGCGACGCCAAGGCGCGCCCGGCGCCUUCGUGGGCGUCCUUUCGGUUCCAGUUCCAAGCCCUGCUCCUCCUGAGCGUCCUGGCUGCGGCGCCAGCUGCUUUGCGAACGUUGUGACGGACAGAUAGGGUCUCCCUGGUGAAACUACGUGUCUGGGAAAGAAAACACAUCAAUCACGUAAUCGAGCGAACAAAUGGCGAGGUGCCGCGGCGAAUGGAAGUACUCCCAAAGAGGAAAACCCUGGGCAGGAGGAGCGUAUGGGAGAUUUUGACGUAGUCAGAGAAGUUAGGGGAGGCUGCCCCAAGGAUUGAAGCCUUCGGAGGCCUGAAGGAUAAGUGGGGAGUUAACUAGAAGCGAGCGGAGCACAGUUCGGAUGGGAACAGCAUUUGCAAAAACUCUUGAUAGUAGGUCUAGUCCGGGAACUGAAAGAUGACCAGUGCGGAGGUGAUGGGAUGCUGGGGUCCCGCAGCUAACAGCCAAGAAAGAAUCCUCGAGACGUUUUCAGCGCAUAAAAGGUGGAUUCAUUGAAGCCUGGGGGCAGGACCUAUGGGCAGAAAGAGCUGCACGGGAAUUGGUUAUAUACUUCUAUGUCACGGUGGGGGUAGAAACAAAGGAAAUUUCCAAAAGGAUUUUCCUAUGUGAAAGAAGACUUCCAUGAUCCUGAAGGUCUGGCUGUGGUCAAGCUAAGGUUGCAUUUUUGCCUCCAGCAAAGCGUUGACUUUAAGACAAUUGGGAGUUCCUGGAGGAAUGCCCGACUCUGCUGGCUGUCAGAAGUAUUUGUCACUGAGCUGCAAGGUCUCUUUACAAGAAACUCUGCUGACCCCUGGUAUAAAUAAACGAAGCAGUGGAAGAUAUGUCAACCGACAUGAAACAAGUCAUUCAUAAAUGACAAUUAGCAGCAAAGUUCAUUUAAAUCUCUUUAUUUGACUGACUUUUAUGUCUCUUUUGAUACUUCUUCCUUAGGGGGAAAAAGUGCAGGCUAAUUCUGAAGAUCAUUUUGAAAGACUCACAAAAUGCUGUUAUUUUAUAAACCAAAAUUAGAACAUUUUUUCUACAGAAAAUUUAUGAGAUUAUUGCUCUCUUAUGGAUAGAAGAAUGUUUAUGCAAUUUUUGUGACAGACCAAUAAACCAUAGCAAUAAAGAGGUGAAUUUAAGUUUUA